GCUUAACGCGAAGAACCUUACCCACCUUUGACAUGUACGGAAUUUGCCAGAGAUGGCUUAGUGCUCGAAAGAGAACCGUAACACAGGUGCUGCAUGACUGUCGUCAGCUCGUGUCGUGAGAUGUUGGGUUAAGUCCCGCAACGAGCGCAACCCUUGCCAUUAGUUGCUACGAAAGGGCACUCUAAUGGGACUGCCGGUGACAAACCGGAGGAAGGUGGGGAUGACGUCAAGUCCUCAUGGCCCUUAUAGGUGGGGCUACACACGUCAUACAAUGGCUGGUACAAAGGGUUGCCAACCCGCGAGGGGGAGCCAAUCCCAUAAAGCCAGUCGUAGUCCGGAUCGCAGUCUGCAACUCGACUGCGUGAAGUCGGAAUCGCUAGUAAUCGUGGAUCAGCAUGUCACGGUGAAUACGUUCCCGGGUCUUGUACACACCG
rnacentral:rRNA from 1 species